rnacentral:lncRNA from 1 species
CCUUGCAUAUUCACUGGAAAGAGCCUGUACAGAGCACUGAUGUCAUGGUCUGCUAAGGAGGCAACACCCAAAGCUGUGUGCAUCUCCUGGUGUGGCACAGAUGGGCCGGAGAGGUGAAAGAAGAAAAGGGUACAAACAACAGAGAAAUCAUGAAGCAGCUUUUUAAUGAAGACCUGAAUUGUGUUUUACUGUUUCUAACCACAUCCUUGGUUUUAAUGCAUCUAGUGUAGUCUGAGGUAACAUGAAUUCAUUCAGCUUCUUUGCCUUCAGGACUAAAUUGGUUUCUCAGGGAGAUCUGGAAAUCCCUUCCCUAACCCAUUACUGUGC